rnacentral:rRNA from 1 species
UCGGCCACACUGGGACUGAGACACGGCCCAGAUUCCUACGGGAGGCAGCAGUAGGAAUCUUCCGCAAUGGACGAAAGUCUGACGGAGCAACGCCGCGUGAGUGAUGAAGGUUUUCGGAUCGUAAAGCUCUGUUGUUAGGGAAGAACAAGUGCCGUUCAAAUAGGGCGGCACCUUGACGGUACCUAACCAGAAAGCCACGGCUAACUACGUGCCAGCAGCCGCGGUAAUACGUAGGUGGCAAGCGUUGUCCGGAAUUAUUGGGCGUAAAGGGCUCGCAGGCGGUUUCUUAAGUCUGAUGUGAAAGCCCCCGGCUCAACCGGGGAGGGUCAUUGGAAACUGGGGAACUUGAGUGCAGAAGAGGAGAGUGGAAUUCCACGUGUAGCGGUGAAAUGCGUAGAGAUGUGGAGGAACACCAGUGGCGAAGGCGACUCUCUGGUCUGUAACUGACGCUGAGGAGCGAAAGCGUGGGGAGCGAACAGGAUUAGAUACCCUGGUAGUCCACGCCGUAAACGAUGAGUGCUAAGUGUUAGGGGGUUUCCGCCCCUUAGUGCUGCAGCUAACGCAUUAAGCACUCCGCCUGGGGAGUACGGUCGCAAGACUGAAACUCAAAGGAAUUGACGGGGGCCCGCACAAGCGGUGGAGCAUGUGGUUUAAUUCGAAGCAACGCGAAGAACCUUACCAGGUCUUGACAUCCUCUGACAAUCCUAGAGAUAGGACGUCCCCUUCGGGGGCAGAGUGACAGGUGGUGCAUGGUUGUCGUCAGCUCGUGUCGUGAGAUGUUGGGUUAAGUCCCGCAACGAGCGCAACCCUUGAUCUUAGUUGCCAGCAUUCAGUUGGGCACUCUAAGGUGACUGCCGGUGACAAACCGGAGGAAGGUGGGGAUGACGUCAAAUCAUCAUGCCCCUUAUGACCUGGGCUACACACGUGCUACAAUGGACAGAACAAAGGGCAGCGAAACCGCGAGGUUAAGCCAAUCCCACAAAUCUGUUCUCAGUUCGGAUCGCAGUCUGCAACUCGACUGCGUGAAGCUGGAAUCGCUAGUAAUCGCGGAUCAGCAUGCCGCGGUGAAUACGUUCCCGGGCCUUGUACACACCGCCCGUCACACCACGAGAGUUUGUAACACCCGAAGUCGGUGAGGUAACCUUUAUGAGCCAGCCGCCGAAG